rnacentral:rRNA from 1 species
UGGAUCCAGACUUUGAUUAUGGCUCAGGAUGAACGCUGGCGGCGUGCUUAACACAUGCAAGUCGAACGGAGUCAUCAUUUUUGAAGUGAUCAGCUUGCUGAGAAUGGAAAUGUUGGUGACUUAGUGGCGGACGGGUGAGUAACGCGUGGGUAACCUGCCUUACACAGGGGGAUAACACUUAGAAAUAGGUGCUAAUACCGCAUAAGCGCACGGUUCCGCAUGGGACAGUGUGAAAAACUGAGGUGGUGUAAGAUGGACCCGCGUCUGAUUAGCUGGUUGGUGAGGUAACGGCCCACCAAGGCGACGAUCAGUAGCCGGCCUGAGAGGGUGGACGGCCACAUUGGGACUGAGACACGGCCCAAACUCCUACGGGAGGCAGCAGUGGGGGAUAUUGGACAAUGGGGGGAACCCUGAUCCAGCGACGCCGCGUGAGUGAAGAAGUAUCUCGGUAUGUAAAGCUCUAUCAGCAGGGAAGAAAGAAAUGACGGUACCUGAGUAAGAAGCCCCGGCUAACUACGUGCCAGCAGCCGCGGUAAUACGUAGGGGGCAAGCGUUAUCCGGAAUUACUGGGUGUAAAGGGAGCGUAGACGGUGAUGUAAGUCUGGAGUGAAAGGCGGGGGCCCAACCCCCGGACUGCUCUGGAAACUAUAUGACUGGAGUGCAGGAGAGGUAAGCGGAAUUCCUAGUGUAGCGGUGAAAUGCGUAGAUAUUAGGAGGGACACCAGUGGCGAAGGCGGCUUACUGAACUGUAACUGACGCUGAGGCUCGAAAGCGUGGGGAGCAAACAGGAUUAGAUACCCUGGUAGUCCACGCCGUAAACGAUGAUCACUAGGUGUAGGUGGGUAUGGACCCAUCGGUGCCGCAGCCAACGCAGUAAGUGAUCCACCUGGGGAGUACGUUCGCAAGAGUGCAACUCAAAUGAAUUGACGGA